AACACCCCCUCUCCAUCAGAGGGAACCCAGGACCUAGAUGUCCUUAGCCUCAAGUCCUCCUGGCACAGAAGAGGGAGGCGGGGCCACAGCUUAUGCUGGGUCUCUGAUUCCUCUGGGGCAACCCAGGCCGGACACGGGGCCAGUCCCUCCCUCCAGACAGAGGCCAGACGGGGGCAGCCGGUAAGGGCGAGGGCCUCUGGGGGCAUCAACUGAGUCAGCCCCACCCAUCCCCCAUGACCUCCUGCAAGAUCCAGAACCAAUCCCCACCUCCCCCUCUCGCCGGAGCCCCCAGAGCCCCACCACUGGGUGGGGGUGCAUGUCGGCCGAUCGCGGUCCCCAGAACCCCCAAAUGGAGGCCAAGGCAGGAGGGUGAUAGGAAGAGAAUCGCCCAGGCGUGGAGGGGGUCCCCGGCGCUGCGUGCAGAUUGUUACCUUCUGUGACCCCCACAACCCGCUCCCAGAUGGGUGUUGAGAAAUCUCCGCCUCCAGUCCAAUUCGCUUCCCUGGGGCCACAUCAAGCCAGGUUUUUCCACCAGUCAGAAGACCUCCUCGGCCAAACAGUACUGGAUCUCCCAGGCUGGCAACAACUUCUAUUCAUCCACCCCUUUCUCCGCUCCCCUCCCUCCAACUCUGGGCUGGAGGGUUGGUCUCUUUCUUUACUUUCUCAGGACCCUGCUGUACUCUUCCUGCUCUCCAGACAGAAGACAUCUUUCCCAGGAAGCCUGGGGAAGCACCCAGUUCCUUCUUUUAGCUCCUGCCAGUGUGCUCUGAGAAGUUCAGUCACCUUUACAGGAAUGGGUGUGUGACCAAGCCCAGAACCCUGGGGGAGAGGGGAGCAUCACAUCAGCUGUUCUCCAUGGCCCCCCAACAGCUGAACUCCCACAAAACUGGGAGUAAGUUUUCCAUUCCCAUGCACACCCCUCACAACCUUUUAAGUUCACAGCUAUCUAUCUAGAAACCCACAUUCUUAGUUAGGGGUCCAACAUCUUAAAGGUCAGAUCUGGUCUCCACACCCGUAAGCACAGGGUUCCUCAGAAAGGGGGUGGGGGGAGGCAUGUCUGUGAAGGAAAGUGGAUUCAAUAACUUAUUUCCUAUAUAGUGACAGCAGUGGGAGUAAAUACACAAGAUCUUUAUUAAUUAAUAAAACAAAAAAGAGGAAAACAGAAGCAACAAAACGAAGACCAUACUGCUCAUGAUACAUCAGCCACAUGGUCAGAAAACCAAUUUCUAAAGAGCGACAGCUGCUGGUGUCAUGGAGUUUUAUUGCAUUUAACAGGGGAAAGGUAGAUGGUUGGAAUGAAAAAGAUGAGCAGGCCUCUGAUAGGAAGAUAUUAUAGGGGCUCUAAUCCUUAACUGUGGACUCCUCUUGUUACUUCCUUUGGAGCAAAAGAUGGGAGAGGAGAGAGGAAUUCUCCUUUAUGACUAUAUGACUUCUUGUGAGACAGAUCAGUCCACCUAGAUACAAAGAAUCCUUGCAUCCCCACAGGCCAGUUGCUAGUGCUCAUCUUUAUGUUAAAAUAAA